AUUGAACGCUGGCGGCAGGCCUAACACAUGCAAGUCGAGCGGUAGAGAGGUGCUUGCAUCUCUUGAGAGCGGCGGACGGGUGAGUAAUGCCUAGGAAUCUGCCUAGUGGUGGGGGAUAACGUUCGGAAACGGACGCUAAUACCGCAUACGUCCUACGGGAGAAAGCGGGGGAUCUUCGGACCUCGCGCCAUUAGAUGAGCCUAGGUCGGAUUAGCUAGUUGGUGAGGUAAUGGCUCACCAAGGCGACGAUCCGUAACUGGUCUGAGAGGAUGAUCAGUCACACUGGAACUGAGACACGGUCCAGACUCCUACGGGAGGCAGCAGUGGGGAAUAUUGGACAAUGGGCGAAAGCCUGAUCCAGCCAUGCCGCGUGUGUGAAGAAGGUCUUCGGAUUGCAAAGCACUUUAAGUUGGGAGGAAGGGUAGUAACCUAAUACGUUGCUACUUUGACGUUACGACAGAAUAAGCACCGGCUAACUUCGUGCCAGCA
rnacentral:rRNA from 1 species